GGCGGAUUUAGAGGGUGGGGCCCAGGGGGCCCGGGCCCCCCCUUUUUGGGAAAAAAUUUGGUUGCUUAUAUAGGGAAUCACUGAAGCGUGACUGGAGCGGGCCCCCUCUUAGGUCAGUCAGUGGGCCCCCACUUAUGAAAAAUUCUUGAUCCGCCACUGUAGAUGACCUUACGGUGGAUGUAAUUGGGAAUACGUAUGUUGGUCCUCAAUCCUCUUCAACUUCGAACUUUAUUUUGCCUUUUUAAAUUUUUUAUUCGAGCGCACUAAUGAGUCUUAUUUUUUUUAGACGAAACGCACGUCUUCCGUCAAUAUAAAAUGUCAAUCAUGGUAUAUAUGAUGAGUUUAUAUACCAUAGUGUCAAUAGAGAGAACAUUCUUCGAUUAAAACACACCCG
rnacentral:lncRNA from 1 species